UGGGAAGGAGGGAGUGAGGGUGGACUAACGUUACUCGACUGUGACUGUGGACGUCGUCACCGCCACAACGGUUAGUCGUUUCAAUUUUGUUGUUAUUGUUGAUAACUGGUUCGUAACAGUUUACGUGAUUUUGGGUUGAAGCCAUAAUUGGAUUGUGUUGGUUAUGGGGUUGUUGGGGGUUUGUUGGAUUCUCGAUUUCUGAGCCCAUUAGGGAGAGAAUCAUAGAAGAAGGGUUAUGAAAAGGGAUGGGAUUUUAUGCAGUUUAGGAUUUCAAAAUAACAAUAGAUUAAUAGGAGAUUCAUCUGUAAGAAUGAGUUUAGAAUAUUAGGGUUAGAUUCACUUCAACUUUGAACUUGUAAGCAAGAAAACUGAAAUUAAAAUUAAUUAAUUGACUAGUUGUUAAAAGUACAAUUUUUUUUCUUACAAAAAUUAUUAUAUAAAUUUGUACAAACUAAAAUGAAAAAAAGUCAAAUGUUUGGAUGAUUAUUAUGCUAAUUUUCUUAAAUAAUUUUUUUAGAUUCAAAUGAUUUUGAUAUAUUGUGUAUGAUUUUAAUUUAAUUAACUAAAUUUGUAUUCUACAAAAUAAGUUUUUAACUUAAAUUUAAAAAAUAUUAAUUUGAUUAGGGAGUAUGGCCAUUGCGAAGAUGUACAAAUUGAUAUAAAAGAAUUCCUCACAGAUUAAAUAAUAAAAUAUACUUUUAUUCAAUUGUUUUAUUUAUUAAAGAUAUUUAUUGCUUUAUAAGUAUUUUAAAUUAUAUAUCUUUUAAAGGGAAGAGUUCUAUUAAUGGGCACUUUGAAAUGUUGAUUAAAGAAUUAAUGUAUAGAAUAUAUGUUUGAGUACUUCAAAUUAAAAAAAAUGGAGAAUAAAGAAUAUUAAUAAUAUUUAAUUACAAAACCAAUUAUUUGUAUUGUAACUAACGUCAUAAUUAGUAUAUAUGUACUUUUUUUCCUUAUAAAUUUAACUUAUGAUUUUCAAAUUGAUAAUUAUUAGUACAUUUUAUUUUCUUUAAUGCAAUCUCUCAUUUUAGAUAUCGGAUGUUACUGAUGCAAUUUAAUUUCAUAUAUAUAUAUAUAUAUUAUAUAUGAAGCAAUAUUUAAUUUUUAUGAAGCAAACAUAAGGGGUUCGAUUUGUUUUAUUUUUAUUUUAAAUAUAAUAUCAAAUUCAAAUAAGAUUUAAUGUUUGACUAUUUUUUAAAAAAAAAUUGUUUAUACAGGACACUCUACAUUAUUUUCAAUAACAAAUUCACACGAUAGAAAGUACUAUUAUUUGUUUUUUUAGUUGAAUUAGUUCUUAUUUUUUAUUAGUUUUGUGGUUUAAAGUGAUUUUAUUUUAUUUUAAACACCUUUAAUGCAAAUUAAAUAAUGAAAAAACUAUUAAAAUCACUAUAAAUAUAUAUUAAUAGCAUUAAAUGUUAGUCCCAAGUGAAUGAUUGGAUAAUAUUGAAUUUCUAUUCAUCUCUUUGAAUUUUGCCGCUUACUCUUUUCAUUAAAUCUUAUAUGUCCUUAUAAAUACAGUUUACUUUUAAUAAAACUUAUUAGCAUUUUUAACACGUGUAUUUUAAAAAAGUGCCUAUUAUGGUAAAUAUUAUGACUCUUUGAAUAUUAUUAUUGAGUAAGUACAAUUUUCAUUAAGUUCAAAGUGACAUUAUAAGUUAUAACCCCGGUUACUUUUUCGUAGAGGUAGAUUAUAAAAACUUAUGGAACAUAUUUGUAAUGGGUAAAUUAAAUGAUAAUACAAAAACUGAAAAUUUAUAAAUUAUAUAGUAUUUAAUAGUGUAAAAAGAAAUAUUUUAUAUUAAUAAGAUGAUUAAAAAUAGAAUCCAUGUAAAGUUGACUGGGCUUGAAAGUGUGUAGAGUUGACAAGUUUGAAGAGUUAAAUAGAUUCAGACACAAUCAAAGAUCGACAACAGACACAAACCGUCUUAACCCCACCUAAUGAACAAACUAUACUAAAUUAUUCAUGUCUAAUAUUAAAACAUUCAUUCAAGAUGAGACUCGAGCUAAACCUCAAGAUUCACGACAUUUGACGUUAACUUCUUCAUAUAUGUCAUAUUCAUGCAUUAGAGUGACUCACAAUUAUGUAAUUUUUAGUUCACUUGGGUAACUCGAUUGUAAGAUUAUGAAUUUCAAUUUUUUGAUAAAUUUUUAUUAUGGCUAUUGGUUCUAUAUUACUCUGAAAAACUCCAUAAAUUUUUAUUAUUCAUUCUAUAUUACUUCAUAUAUUUUUAUGAGUCUUACAAGGAGGAUUUAUACGGAUGCAGAUUUAAAAAACUCAUCAACUACCCAGCUCCAAUUAAAGAUAUUAUGAAGGCCAAUUCUUUUCUUAAAAUCGGACCCACCCAUUUUAUCCUAAUAAUAUUCAUCAUAUUAUAUAUAUAGAGAGAGAAUAAUGUUUGUGCAUGAGAUAGACAGGGCCGUAAGAGGUCCAUAUUGGGAGAAAGAAAGAUGUAUUGGGCUUUUGCAUCCUAUAUCCUCAUAAUUGACUGCAGACUCUUUCUUCUAUGUAUUGGGCUUUUGCAUCCUAUAUCCUCAUAAUUGACUGCAGACUCUUUUUUCCUACACCUCCAUACCUUAUUGUGCCACCCCAUAUUAAAUAUGAAAAUAUUAUUUUAUCCUUUUUUUCCCACCUUUUGGAUUUGAAAUAAUAAGCCUAUGGAUUAUGUAAUCCGAAAUAUAUUCAGAUUACAUAAUCCAGAAGUCAAUCUCAUAUUUAGAAAAGACUUCCAGAUUAUGUAAUCCGGAAGCUAAUCACACAUCUGAAAAAAAAAAGCUUUCAGAUCACAUAAUCCGAAAGCUAAUCUUAUGUAUAGAAAAUACUUUCGGAUUAUGUAAUCCAGAAGCUAAUCACAAAAGGCUUCUGGAUUACAUAAUCUGGAAGCUAAUUCUGGAUUUAGAAAACGACUUCCGGAUUAUGUAAUCUGGAAUAUUAAAAAGGAUAUUUUUAGAAUACAAAAACUUAUGAAAGUGGCACAAGAAAGUAUGGACGUGCAGUAAGAAUCAGCCUUGACUGCAUUCACCAUAAAAUUUUAAAAUACCCGCUUUACCUUUUGGCAUUUUAUUUGAAAGCUUCUCAUCCUUUUUUGACAGUUUUCUUUUGCUUCCGAUUUUCUUCAUUGAGGUUAAAAGCUGAAGUAUUCCCACGAACUUUGGUGGUGGUGAUUUGAAGUUGGCUAACUUGGGGUACACGAAGAAGGUAUGGAUAAAUAGUUUAAUUUUGUCUGGUUUUGUUUUAAUGGGCGUAUAUCUGUCUUCCAAAUUAUGAAUUCUAUAAAAGAGACUUUCCGAAAACAUAUUUUGGAACACAGUUAUUAUUUUCUAAAAGGUAUUUUUUAAAAUUUUAGAAAGCACAUUUGGAAACACUAAUAUACCUAUUCUAGAAUGAGGAAUUUAGAAAUUUUCUGGAACGACAAUUUUGGAAGCCAAUUGUCAGAGGUUAUUUAAGGAAGUAUUUCAUUUACGUUUCAGAACUACAAAAAAAUGUGUAUGAAGUGACGGUUUUAAUAUGACGAUUACAAGUAUCUGUAUAAUACGACAUUUUAGUAAUCGUCACAAUUAUCUUAUAAAACGUGUCAUUUUGAAUUGACACAAUUCUCCUUCGAAAUAAACACUUCGUGUUUUCCUUCCCUCCAUACACCAUUCCUCAUUAUUUCCAAUUUUUUUUUAAACCUCCUUUUGACUCUUGGAAACCGAAUACAAUUAAUUAAUUCUUCACAAACCCUUCCAUUGGAUUUUGAAAUCAAACGUAACUCUUCUCUCUCUCUAUCUGCAAACUCUUCACAAACCCUCUCCUCACGUUCACGAAACCCUACCACGAAACACUCUUGCCUUCACUCACUCUAGCGCGGCCUAAACAUAACCCUCACUCUCCCGCCCUUCACUUUCCGCCAUCACCGCCUCCUCGCAAGGAUUUCAAACUUCUGUCCGCCAUCGUUUGUUCAAGUUUGUGCUCUAUAACCUUGUCUUCGAAAUCUAUUGCUGGAUUGCCUUUGUCGUGGGAAAUCUACUGUGGUUCUUAAUUUGUGAAAUCUAUUGUGAAUGGUUUUGCUGCGAAGAAUAGAGAUGUCCUUUAAAUUUAACUUGUGGUUUAUCCUUCACUUGCCAAAAGAAUAGUCAGUUUGUGAUCUAAUGCUCAGUUUUGAUAUGCUUGAGUGUUGGUGCUAUUGUCUGAACCAUGUGAAUCGUGAGUUGCAAUUCAUGUAUAAUACACUCCCAAAUAUGAUUGUAUGCAAUAUGAUCAUGUCUACAACUUACGGGUGUGCUAUUUCAUUAAGAAAAUAAUUGAACGUGUUGAUGCAGUCUUGGUAGUUGGCAUCUUGCAGUACUCUAAAUAAUUUGAUUAUUCAUUCAGGCUUUGGAUGUGCUCAUUGAAUCAUACUUUGACAGUGAAUUAUACAAAAAUAAAAUAUGGGUUGGAACUGUUGAAGGUAUUCUAUUAGAUAUUUUCAUUUUAUUGAUUGACUUUAUUUGGUUUAGUAAUUUCACUUUACCUGUGCAUGUCUUCUUGUUUAUUUCAUUGAGCCCCACCAUCUUGAUAAGUUCUUUUGGAGAGGAGAAUUUGAUGACGAGCAUGAUGAUUUCAAACGAUUUUCAUUUUUUAGUCGUGUUGCUCUUGAUUUUCUUCUGCAAUUUGGCGAGAAGCUAGAUAUCAUUCAUUGCCAGCUGUGUAAUUCUUUCUAGCAAAUUUUUGCUCUUUUAGUCACUAAUUGAAUGGCAUCUUUGUUUCUUUGCUAGGCUCCUCUGUACUGGAAGAUAUUUGUAAAUAAAGGAUUAAAUUCAGCUAGGAUAUGCUUUGUAUAUCAAUGAAAUAUACCAGUUCUAUAUCAGUGAAAUAUAUUCACUUCUCAACAUCAUGAUUAUUUUGCAAUGCAUUCUUUCACACACUUACUAUGUAAAAUAUAUUAGUAAAUCUUUUAUGCCUUGUAUUGUGACUUUUCAUUAUUCUUAUGGUUAUUUAUAUUAUCAGAAUACAAUAUAUGUAUGUUUAUUUUAAUUUAGAAGAGUUCAUUUUAUACAUUCCAUUAUGAUUAUUUGUUUCCUAUCUUCAGGUAAAACAACUAAUAGAAAGCAUAAUCAGGAGUAAAAGGAGUGAAACCUCAAUCCUAGUAAGAUUCUUUUGACUCUACAUGUAUUUCUUUUUCGUAUAAUUGUUUCUUUCUGUAUUGAUUCUGUAACAAUUCAAAUAGGAAGUGAAUAACGUUGAUGGCAGGUGGUGCAUAAAAUUUGUCAACAAAACUUUGAUAACUUAUUGUUCAUGAAAUAAUGUUUGUCAAUAAAGCUAGUAGAUACUCAUAAAUUCCAUUCCUUAAGAUAGUAUUUGUUAAGAGUGGAUCAGGAAUUGGAAGUAUUAUAGAGCCACAUUCUAUUGUUCCUUUAAAUGAUGAGUUGCAACGAGCAAGAAUUUUGGUAGCAAAGGCUAAAGCAUAUGUGCUUUUGACAUUAACCAAAAAGGUUACAAUUGUGAUAUUAUAAAUAUUCUAAUGGUCAUGUUCUUUUUUUCUCAUAUGAUGCCUUAAUUUUUGUACAUAUGUAGUUGGAUCUUGAUGAUAUUAAAAAGAUAUUAAACAGUUUGGUUCAACUAGAUGUGGUAAAUACCUUGUAAUGUUUUUAAAGAGAAUUGGAUCACCAUUUCUCGUUUGCUCUCUCUAUAUUCCACUAUAUGCAAUUAUUCUCAUGCGAUAUUUACUUUGUUGCCUUUCAAGGAGUUUGUUUACUGGUUUUCUUCCGAUGAUCAUUCCUUGAGAGUUUUCUUAUUUUUUAUUUGAAUUGUGAGAUAUAUGAUUUGAUUACAUUAAAUAGGGAUAUGUGAUAUGAUAAGCAAUUAAUUCAAUAAGUAUAUUAUUUUCCAAGUAAAUAAUAUAUUGCUUUUGAAUAAAAAAUGUGUUUGGUCUGGUAACUUUUUAUUGCAUCUAACAUCAAAAAAGCUCUGCUUGUAAUAAUAAUGAAGGAUUCUAGCCGGUGUCUUUGUAUCAUCAUUUGUAAUUUGUUUUUAUUACUGAUUAACUGGAGGGAACUAAGUUAUCUGAUCCGAUUUACAAAUUGGCAUAGUUUGGAAAUUAUUUGAAGUUGAUUUUUGGAGGGUUUUCUGUUUAUCUAUAUAUUAAGAAAAGAAUAGAGAGACCUACAAUUCAUUCUCAUCCAUUCUCAACGUUCUUUAACUUUAAACUAGUGCGUUUCCUAACUUUUCAAUCUUAAAAAACAAUUGUUCCAAUGAAAAUACAGGGAGGGCAUGGUCUCGAUUCAACACUCUUUUCUCAAUGAGGUAUUAAUAUAUUUAAAUAUUUAUUUGUGCCUUUUAUUUUAUAAUUAUAAACAUUGAAAAUCAUUAACUUCAAAUUAUUUAUUUCAGGCAUCAGAUAUUGGAAGCGGUGCUUCAUCACCUAAUCAAGUAAUAGGAUAAAGUGCUGAAAGCAAAAUUGAUGCAAAAGUGUAGGACAUAAAUAUUAUGAGGUACGUAAAAUCAAAGUACGUAACAUAUUAAUAAAUUAAACAACUAAACGUCUAAUAAACAAUAAAUUACUCCACAUAAAAUUUUCAUAUACAUCUAUGUCAUGACCUCCUAAUGUACACAAUCCUUUUUCUUUUUCUGUAGCUUCUCAUGCAAAGAUGAGGGUUGUGUAUGUCCCAUUCCUCACAAGGGUACCCUCAACAUGACCUUUGUUAACCAUCAACUAUGGAGUCAAGGUUAUGCAACAACAUAUAUUCUACAAAAUAAAAAUAAAUUACAAUUAUAUCAAACAUGUAAAUAAUAAAUGAUAUGUCUUACUAGAGUGUGAUGCUUUGUAUGAUUGUCAUCUUCAUCACCCCAACUCCAACAUCAACAUGCACAUUUGACGGUAUCAUUGUUGGAUGCUCAUCCUCAACCAUGUGUAUGAUAUAUGAAUGUAAUACACAACAAAACCAAUCCAUAUAUCUUGGAAUAAAAACUCUUGCAUGAGAGGCAAUAACCACAUCUUGCAUAACAUAUUGUUGAAAAUAUAACCACCGCCAAUUUCCUUCUAUUGUUGAUAGAUUCUCAUCUCUUAUAAUUGAUGGAUCAUGUGGUAUGUUGUGCACAUACCCAUAGUGGCGUAGGACAUGUUCAUGGAAGUUCAACUGUCUGCAUAUGCCC
rnacentral:lncRNA from 1 species